GAUGAACGCUAGCUACAGGCUUAACACAUGCAAGUCGAGGGGUAACGAGAGGAAAGCUUGCUUUCCUUGUCGACGACCGGCGCACGGGUGAGUAACGCGUAUCCAACCUGCCCCCAACUAAGGAAUAACCUUGCGAAAGUAAGACUAAUACCUUAUAAUUUCCUCAGAUGUCAUCUGACGAGGAAUAAAGAUUUAUCGGUUGUGGAUGGGGAUGCGUCUGAUUAGCUUGUUGCGGGGUAACGGCCCACCAAGGCAACGAUCAGUAGGGGUUCUGAGAGGGAGGUCCGCCACGAUUGGACUGAGACACGGAGCAGACUCCUACGGGAGGCAGCAGUGAGGAAUACUGGGAAAUGGGCGGAAGCCUGAACCAGCCAAGUAGCGUGCAGGAUGACGGCCCUAUGGGUUGUAAACUGCUUUUAUACAGGAAUAAAGUUAGCCACGUGUGGUUAUUUGUAGGUACUGUAUGAAUAAGGACCGGCUAAUUCCGUGCCAGCAGCCGCCGCGGUAA
rnacentral:rRNA from 1 species